GUACGUACGCGAGAUAUUAUUAUAAUAUUCAUGCCCGUGUACAGGUAAAAUAUAUAGUAUCGAAACGCACCGUCUCUAUUUCUGCGCACGUACACAACGAUAUUAUGAUAUAUAUAUAUAAUAAUGUUGUUAUUAUUAUUAUCGUCGUCGUCGUACCUAUGUGUGUCUUGUCGCGGUCACCGGCGCCGCAGCAGCCCGCAAUGCAGUUUUCGCACGACGCGCGUCUCGUCUCUGCGUGCUCGCCGCGUCCGGCACCGUUUUGCGUACCUACCGUCGGCGUCGUACCGCGGUCGAUCAAGACCGACCAAAGUGCAGGAAUCAUCGUUGAAAUCAUCGGAUUUACCAGCGGCGCUCGCGAGACACACCACGACGUUAUUGUGCGAAAUUGUGUUUUUUUUUUUUAUUUUUGAGUUCGGUUAUCGGCGAAAACGGUUUAAUUUUUUUUUCUUGUUUUUGCGAUUAUUUCCAAUUACACCUUUACCACGUGUGUCCGUUUGUGCGUGUGCGAGUGCACGUGCUUCACGAUCACGGGGUGCAUCGUACCUGCUGUGUAUUAGAUAAUGUAGCUGCUCGUCCGUCCUCUUCGCCUCUUCGGCCACUGUACUAUAAAAUGCUGCUGUGCAUUCAGACCAACUGACAAACAUGACAAACUGCAGCAAUAAAUAUUAUAUAUAUAUAUACAAGCAAAAUAUUCGUUCGAGCAAGACGAAUGGAAAAACGGGAUGUUUGCUCGUCGCCAACAAUCUUGGACCUUGAAAAAACAGGUUUUGAUAUGGUUGAAGAUUGUUUUCUAUACGAUAUGAUGAAAAUGUAACUACAAAAUGACAGAACUAUUCAAUUUACUGAUUACAUAAUAUUGGAACAUAUUUAAGCAAUGAUGCAGAGUUUUCAACACAGAUAUGAACCGAGCUUACACGGAAAAUAAUCGUAAAUCAUUUUAUAGAAAAUUAAACAAUUCCAAAUACAUUUGAAAAAUAUAUUAUACAAUCAAAUAUCCAUAGACGUAAUUUACCUAUGAAAGCAAAAUAUGAAGGUCACAAUUUUAAUUUUAUUUCAAUAAUGUUAAAUUAAAUAUUUUUCAAAUAAAUAGUUUUAUUUUCAAGUAAAAAUACGUGUUUCUUGAAUAUGCCAUGGGGCCAAACAAUAUAAUAAAAAGGUAGCUGUCAGUCGGUAGGUAAAACGUUGGGUAAGCAUUUGGGUCAAUAAUAAAGUUAUCGUUUUGUCGUACGGUCAAAUAAAAACCAUUGAUUUUUUUCUUCGUGUCAUUCAAUGCGUAUUACAUACCGUGACAUAUUAUACCUUCUUAAUAAAUCAAGUUUUAUUACUUCAUAUUUUAAUAUUAUAUUAACGCAUGCUGAGCAAAAAUUAUGUAUGUAGUAUUAUAGCUACAGUACAAUACCAAGAUAUCAAUAAAAAUGACAACGUAUCAAAUACAUUAACUCUAUUGUUUCUAUAAUUAAAAAAUUAAUAUUUACUCUUAAAUAAUUAUAAGCGAAACAAUAUCACACACAUUAUUUUAUAUAAAAUGUUCAUU